UGAAAACUGAAAUUCACAGGAAGGAGG
rnacentral:piRNA from 1 species